rnacentral:rRNA from 1 species
CGGGACGGGUGAGUAAUGUCUGGGAAACUGCCUGAUGGAGGGGGAUAACUACUGGAAACGGUAGCUAAUACCGCAUAACGUCGCAAGACCAAAGAGGGGGACCCUCGGGCCUCUUGCCAUCGGAUGUGCCCAGAUGGGAUUAGCUAGUAGGUGGGGUAACGGCUCACCUAGGCGACGAUCCCUAGCUGGUCUGAGAGGAUGACCAGCCACACUGGAACUGAGACACGGUCCAG